GAAAAACUGAGAGAUGAGAGGCAGUGGCACAAAUUGUCCCCUUCUGGGUGGUAGGGGCGGAGAGAAGGAUUGGCCGCAGCUCGGUGAAGUGUCGUCUGGUGACCCGCUUUGGACAAACCUGGAGGAUACAAGGCAUGGUUUGUUGAGGGCGCAUGCGGGGACUGGAUUUGGAAAGUCACGUGAAGAGGGGUUGGGGAUGUCUCGAUUCUCAGCUCAGAGCUUUGAGGUGGGGAGGCCGAGGGCUCCUGGGCAGGGGAGUGUUAUAGGAGAGUGUGGGUUGAGAGAGGUGACCUCUGGGGACCAGAUGCACUCUUCCUGUGCAGGCUGGGCUCUUCCAGGCAGCCUCCAGCAGCCACAUGUAGCCUUGUGGCUUCAGCGCACAGCUAGGCACGGCCCGUGCAAAGGUUGUGAUUAUGUGGAUCAGAACCGGCUUUUCCCUGGGAGGAGGGGAAGGAUGUCUCCUCUUUUUCUUCUUCAGUUUUUCCUGAAAAAAAAGAAAACAACAACAACAACAACAACAAAAAAAAACAACAACAACCAAACCCAAAAAACAAGGAAGUACUCCUCCCUGUGUCCUUCAAAGCGCUGUGGCAUCUUCAGAUCUGGGUACUUGAAAGCUAAAGCUGGUCAUAAUUUCCGAUGGACAUAAUGUGCAUUUGAAAUUCUUUUCCACAUCAAAUUAAAUCUGUCUUGGACUGAU